rnacentral:rRNA from 1 species
GAAUUCAACUCCUACGGGAGGCAGCAGUGGGGAAUAUUGGACAAUGGGCGCAAGCCUGAUCCAGCCAUGCUGCGUGAGUGAUGAAGGCCUUAGGGUUGUAAAGCUCUUUCGACGGGGACGAUAAUGACGGUACCCGUAGAAGAAGCCCCGGCUAACUUCGUGCCAGCAGCCGCGGUAAUACGAAGGGGGCUAGCGUUGCUCGGAAUCACUGGGCGUAAAGGGCGCGUAGGCGGACGUUUAAGUCGGGGGUGAAAGCCCGGGGCUCAACCCCGGAAUUGCCUUCGAUACUGGACGUCUCGAGACCGGAAGAGGUAAGCGGAACUGCGAGUGUAGAGGUGAAAUUCGUAGAUAUUCGCAAGAACACCAGUGGCGAAGGCGGCUUACUGGUCCGGUUCUGACGCUGAGGCGCGAAAGCGUGGGGAGCAAACAGGAUUAGAAACCCGAGUAGUCCAGGCGUU